rnacentral:rRNA from 1 species
AUGGUGUUCAUUGGCUUGGAGAAGGCCUAUGAUAAGAUACCGCGGAAUGUCAUGUGGUGGGCCUUGGAGAAACACAAAGUCCCAGCAAAGUACAUUACCCUCAUCAAGGACAUGUACAAUAAUGUUGUGACAAGUGUUCGAACAAGUGAUGUCGACACCGAUGACUUCCCGAUUAAGAUAGGAUUGCAUCAGGGGUCAGCUUUGAGCCCUUAUCUUUUUGCAUUGGUGAUGGACGAGGUCACAAGGGGUAUACGAGGAGAUAUCCCAUGGUGUAUGCUCUUUGCGGAUGAUGUGGUGCUAGUUGACGAUAGUCGGACGGGGGUAAAUAGGAAGUUAGAGUUAUGGAGACAAACCUUGGAAUCGAAAGGGUUUAGGCUUAGUAGAACUAAAACCGAGUACAUGAUGUGCGGUUUCAGUACUACUAGCUGUGAGGAGGAGGAGGUUAGCCUUGAUGGCCAGGUGGUACCUCGGAAGGACAUCUUUCGGUAUUUGGGGUCAAUGUUGCAGGAGGAUGGGGGUAUUGAUGAAGAUGUGAACCAUCGAAUCAAAGCUGGAUGGAUGAAGUGGCGCCAAGCUUCUGGCAUUCUCUGUGACAAGAGAGUGCCACAAAAGCUAAAAGGCAAGUUCUACAGGACGGCGGUUCGACCCGCAAUGUUGUAUGGCGCGGAGUGUUGGCCGACUAAAAGGUGA